AUUGAACGCUGGCGGCAUGCCUUACACAUGCAAGUCGAACGGCAGCACGGGUGCUUGCACCUGGUGGCGAGUGGCGAACGGGUGAGUAAUACAUCGGAACAUGUCCUGUAGCGGGGGAUAGCCCGGCGAAAGCCGGAUUAAUACCGCAUACGAUCUACGGAUGAAAGCGGGGGACCUUCGGGCCUCGCGCUAUCGGGUUGGCCGAUGGCUGAUUAGCUAGUUGGUGGGGUAAAGGCCUACCAAGGCGACGAUCAGUAGCUGGUCUGAGAGGACGACCAGCCACACUGGGACUGAGACACGGCCCAGACUCCUACGGGAGGCAGCAGUGGGGAAUUUUGGACAAUGGGCGAAAGCCUGAUCCAGCAAUGCCGCGUGUGUGAAGAAGGCCUUCGGGUUGUAAAGCACUUUUGUCCGGAAAGAAAUCCUUGGCCCUAAUACGGUCGGGGGAUGACGGUACCGGAAGAAUAAGCACCGGCUAACUACGUG
rnacentral:rRNA from 1 species